GGCAGCCGAUGGAAAAUUCAGACGGAUUUGGGACAGUAUGCAGAGUUCUCCAAGCGACAGAUUAACAGAGGCUCUUGAAGAAUAACUGCGUAAUCACGUGUUCUGCUCAAAAGAAGGCCUGAAUGCCCAGUGCCUUAUUUGGCUUUCAGGGGUCUUGCGGUGUCACCCAGGCUAGAGUACAGUGGUGCAAUCAUAGCUCACUGCUGCCUCAAACUCCUAGACUCAAGCAAUCCUCCUGCUUCAGCCUCCCGAGUAGCUGGGACUACAGUUUCCCCAUGUGUAUGCUGUGGUAUUGGAUCAGCAACGAGAUAAGAAGAUCUCUCCCAUUUCCAAGCGUCUAUGAUGAUUCUGAGGCACAAGGUCACAUUUGACAGUACUAGGAAACCCAGGAAACAAGAAGCAAAGAUGACAAAGGCUGUGUCUGCCUGGGCAGACGAUCUAUUUGGACAAGAUAAUAGACCCAGGCAUGGACAUGCUCUCCAAGAAAGAUGCCCUGACAGCUGCUCACACUGAAGCUGAAUCGAACAUUCCAAUCCUUAGAGGUUCCAGCGAAGAUCUUGAAGUCUCCCUGAGCCAUUGACACAAUGGCCAUGCCAUCCCAGUGAUAAAACACAAAUUGUGGCCUUGUUUUGGACAGAAAUAAAGAGCCCAGUUUGUUAGUGA
rnacentral:lncRNA from 1 species